CAAAAGCAGGACUAGUUUAUCCAUUGAGAAGGCCUGGCUUGUUUAAUGCAGCAGCAAGAAAUCUUGCUGGAGAGCAAAGAUGUGAAAACCAUCAGUGAGAAACUGGAAAAGGUUAAGCCAAUGGGAUUUUUGAUUUCAGUGAGAAGUCAUCACAUAGGAAAUGAUUGUGUGCUUGGGUCAAGGAGACUUGUUGUUUUAAUUAUUGUCAGGAAUAAUCCUCUGCUUUUGUGUCUUGUGAACAGGGUGCUUUCCCAUGUUGCUUGUGACAAAGAAAGUCUCAUUCUGUGAUCACCAGGUCUGUGCAAAACAGAAUUCUCGGCACCAAUAUGAGUAUCUUCACCAUCCUAUUGAGUUUGGCAGAUCAACUUGCACAGGUCUCGGUCGAUCAGCGGAGCAUCCUCUGGGCUCUCCACCAGUCCUCUCAGCAGUCUGAGGGUCACCGCUCACCCCUCUCCAAGGGCAAUCCCUUCGCUACCCCCAAGGGGACACCUGUUAUACACCAAAGGAGAGCCCAGCAGGCCCACCCAACCCAACCCCACCAUCCAGCCCCAGCACUGCAGGAAUGCCCUGGAGGACACGGCUUAACUCCAGCACGAAUAGUUCCUCGCUUCCGUCGUCAGAAAUUACGAGGAUGACCAGAGUUCACUCAUUAUAUAGACACCCUGAAUGGGACUCAGGAAUGGGACAGUCUUCGUCCCGGCCCUCUGUGUAGGAGUGGAUUUCACUCGCUGAUGGAUUGGAGGUCUGGUGAAAUCCACAGCUUGCUUUAAAAGCAAGAUCUCGUGAUUGUACCAUCGGCCCAACAGGACACCUUUAGAAAAGGAACAUUUUAAGUCCUAUGACAUCAAAGGAGUUGAACUUGAGUGGCAAGGAACUGAAAUCUGUGUGUUGCCAGGCUCUGCAUAUUGUCACAUGAAAUGAAUAGUUCCCUGGAGCCAAACCAGAGAUGCGUCCCCUGACUUCUACGGGCUUUAUAUAUGCAGUAUUAAUUGGUGUACUGGCUUAGUCAAAAGAGUUACUGUUGCUCCUGAUUUUUCAUCGUUGGUGACACAUGCUGCCAGACUGAGACCGUGUGCUCUGUCAUUUUACCAGUUUUCACUAAGUGAAAUGUUGUUCUGGAUGUUCUCUGACAGGGGGAGUUGGAGGGGCUGGCGGCCCCCACAGGGAAGUGCUCCCCUGUCUGUGAAUCCCUGCGGCAUCCCUUGGGAGCUGCAGCCCGGGCACGUGUGUUUGCCAAGGCUGCUCCUGGCACGGCUGGGGACAGGACAGGAUUUGGGCAGGAGCUGUGUGGUGCCCUCAGCACGUGCCCUUGUGCAGUCCAAAGAAAGGGAGUUUUAUUGCAUUCCCAGGAACUGCUCCAACAGCUGUGGACUUGCCCCUGCCUUCUCAGGGUAAGGAUGCGGUGACAGCAAGAAGGCUGUUGGUGGGAUUGGAGGGCACUUGCUGCAUGUUGGUCAGAUGUGUAACCUGUGGAAUGGGUGUGUUUCCUGGGAGAAAACAUUCUGGAGUGGCAGAAUGGUUGCCACAGACACCACGUGAGUGCCACACCACGGCGUGAGCCUUCAGGCCCUGCGAGUCCUCACCCAGACUUGGUGAAGUGUUGAAGUGUGAACUGAUUGCUGGGAGUAAGGAUGUGUCUGGUAAGUGGCAGUGCUGCCCACUGAGCCGCUGUUUCUGGAGAAGAGGGUCCUGUCUGACAGGCAGCAGGCAGUGGACAUGGCUCAGUUGCCACGUCUGCUAUGGAUGGGCACAGAACUGGACAGCUGUGCUUCUGGGAACAGUGGUGGCUCGUGGCUGAGGUGCUGCUGCUGGAGAGGGCAGUGGUGGUGUCUGCUGCUGGGCAGAUGGCCGGGAGCGGGUCAUAUCCAGGGAGCAGUGCAGGCAACACGAGCAGGAUGUUGGAGGACGUGGGAUUUCCUUGGAAGUUCACCUGUUUGUUAGCUCUCCUCCUGUGGCUUGGAGUCUCUUGGGUAGCUUGUGCCCUGUGUCAGGUGGUGAGGUUUCUUUGGUUUGGUUUUGUUUCUCUCGAUCAAACGAAAAGGGUGGGUCUUACCAGGAAAGAUUCAGGAGGUUUUCAGAAACGUUGGAGAGAGGUGGUCUAAUGUUGGCGGCAAGUGAAUACAUUUGAUAAGCUGUGGGGUUCUGCAGUUCAGUUGUUCUAAAUUAGGCGAUUACCUUAGUGAGCAAUUGGAGUCAUUAUACAGUGCGGAGUGCAGAAGGAUUUUUUCUGUCAGCUUUUUUCUGUGAUGGUUUUUUAGUGUCUUUUAAAGCUCUCCUACAACCUCUCCACCAGUGUGCUUUGCUGCACUUGCUGUAGGGGCUGGAGGUGUUUGCUCUCUGCUCGGUCGGUCCCCGCCUUCCCCUGAAUUCCCUGGCACUGCAGUUCCGGGGGUUUCCCAGCAGACGGCAGCACUGAGCGCCAAGACCUACGGUGAGCGCGCGGCUGGGGAGGGGGCAGCGUAAGUCCUCGGACGCCACACUCAAGAUGGCGGCGGCGUGAUUGGAAACGCUCGAGGCCACACUCAAGAUGGCGACGCCCUCACCGGAAGUCUUCGCGGCCCACACUCAAGAUGGCGACGCCCUCACCGGAAGACGCCGCGGCCCACACUCAAGAUGGCGACGCCCUCACCGGAAGACGUUGCGGCCCACACUCAAGAUGGCGACGCCCUCACCGGAAGUCGUCACGGCCCACACUCAAGAUGGCGACGCCCUCACCGGAAGUCGUCACGGCCCACACUCAAGAUGGCGACGCCCUCACCGGAAGUCGUCACGGCCCACACUCAAGAUGGCGACACCCUCACCGGAAGACGCUGCGGCCCACACUCAAGAUGGCGACGCCCUCACCGGAAGUCGUCACGGCCCAAACUCAAGAUGACACCGCCCUCACCGGAACGUGCAGAGCCACAACAAAGAUGGCGGCCAGCACGCGAGCAGUGGAGCGGACCGCGGGCGGCAGUCGUGGCGGCGGCCGCAAGCACCGGCGCGGGCAGGCUCCAUUCGGAGACGCGGCACAGCCGUGAGGACGAGGACCCCUGAGCAAGCACAGCUCUGCUACGAACCCUCCACCGGAGCGCUUUGCCGCACUUGCCGUGGGGGCUGGAGUGAGAAGCAGCUGGAGGUGUUUGCUCUCUCUCUGCUCGGUCCCCGCCUUGCCCUCGGUUCCCUGGCCCCGCCGGUAAUCGCAGCUCACCUUGGGUUUUCCGGGGCCCUUGCUGAAGGGUUUCUAAGUGUGGCCCUGAGAUUUUCUGCAGGUGGAAUGGAUGGCUGUUUCAGAGCACUUGUCACUGGGCUGUCUGCGUUUUAACGCUUGCCAGGGCAGGAGAAUUGCAGCAGGAGAAGGGUAAUUAUUCAUCUGAAGUUGUAAGCGAGUGCAGGAGAAAUCCUAGGAAGGCACCUGGAUGUGUAGUUAGGUGUUGGAGUACCUUUGGCUGGUAGAAAUAGCAGACGGGUUUUCUCUGUGGAUCAGCUGCAGACAAAGUGGAGGGUGAACAAUUGACUGCAACAAUACAUGGAUGAGACAGAAAAGGCUGGUGCUGGAGCAUGUUUAAGAAGCCAGCAUAGGGAGCUUCAGUCUUCUAAAAUUAGAGUCUGGAGGCGAGUGGAGUUCCUGCUCCACACCUCAGGACUAGUGAGGGAUUUAUCUUCCUCUGCUUCUCCUUUCUCCCUGUUUCCCUCCCCGCUCCGUCGUUCGGUCGGUUUGGAUUUUUAUUUUCGCCUGGUGUGGAGCACAGCCCUUUUGGAGCAUUUGGGAGUUGAGAACUGCCUGGGUUCAGAUCGAGUUGCAACCUGAACUCAGUUUAUGAACUGCUCCGGGACCUCCCUCUUUGCCGUCUCGUUUUCUGUGGUCCAUGCAUUCAGUUUCAGAGUUCUGUGAUCCCGGCCUCAUCUUGUCCACCUCACUUGGACUCCCCGGAGGAAAAGGUAGAAGAGAGUUACAGUAAGAAUCACGCUUUUCAGCAGUUGGUUUCCAUAUGUUUAUAUGUUCAGCUUUUCUGUGGAGGGAUGUCAUCGCUUUCAUCAUAUGCUUGAGGACAGUUUUUUUCCAGAAAUGAUUAUAUGUAGGCCAGGAUUUCACUGGAGUGUCAUCAGCUCCUUGGGAAUUGCUUGAAGGUAGGAUUGAACUUUAUUCUGCACUUCCUGUCCUUUCCCCCUGCAGCCGAAGCGUCGGCUCUGGGUCGUGCAGGACUACAGCUGCCAAGGCCAAGCUCUGAGAGUGGGAGAACUUCCUCUUCAAGAGUUUGAUUUUCUUUGGCAUCCCUCAGAAUUUCCAUCAUAUUUGGUAUGGAAUCCCUCAGAGGGGUUUAUCUCCACAUAAGCCCUGAAUAUGCCAGUAGGUUUCAGCUGGGAGAAAGGAGCUUCCGGUUUUUCCAUCUGACGUGUCACGGGCUGGUUUAAAGUUUUUAGCUAAAAUCUCAGCCAGCUGUUCCCAGAGCUCAGGUUAAAGGACGAUUGCCACACUCAGCUCAGCUCAGCUCACUUCUGCAGCACUUUAUCAGGAAGGCUGGCAAGCCACAGGAUUUCAGCUGCCUUAGGCUGGGGAACAAGCCCCUGUUUUAGAAGCUUUCAGGCAACUACUCAAAUGGAGUUUUCCUGAGAUCCAGCCUGUCCAUGGCAGCUUCCCAUCCAUCCUGGGAAACUGGGCAGGGACCCCACUAAAUGCCCUCUGCGCUGGGCACAGCUUUUCUCCCUGGAGAGGUGCUCCAGCAGCACUUGGCAGUGAGCGCUGGGGGUUAAUCCAUAGGAAUAGUUACAUCCGUGAUCACUGCCGGGCUCUUUGCAGGCCUGAAUUUCCCACUAAUGGGAGAUGAGCCUCUGGAAUUGUCCCUUCCAGCACAGCAGCUGAGGUUUGUGCCAGCCCAUGUGGGAAUGGAUUGAUCCUGAUUGUUGGACUCUGGAGUCUCUUAAGAGCUGGAUUAUGGAAAACAGAGAAGAAAAUGGAUAAACCCCUCAGUGUGACCCGGUGACUUUUGGGCAGGCCUUGGGAAUUUGCAGAGGGUGCAUUCUGGGAGAGGAGCCACUGCUUCCCUUCCCAGCAAACGACGGGAAAGGCAACCCAGAGUGUGAGGCUUGGGAAGGAAUUGGCACCACGCCUGGAAAUGUUUCCAGUGCUGCUGUUUCUUUUUUCCCACUCUUGGCCAAGGCUGGGUAUGCCGUUGGUUCCCAGAGUGAGGGAGGUUUUCCUGGAUUGUAGGGAUUGCACUGGACAAGUCUCCUGGGUGUUUGGGGGCUGUGUGGUCUCUUUUCUCCUGAAUGGAAGAGGGGGGGAAGUGGGACAGUCCCGAUAGUGGCAGAGACACGGGAACAGCCCACUUCCAGGGAGGACUGCGUUGCCGAGCUUGUGGUUUGCACCCUGAGGUGGUCUUUCCUGUUACUUCUACUUUUGAGCCUGUUGAAAUGCUGGUGUAGAUUUGGGAAGAGCCAAGUAAGCUGGAGCUGUGAGGUUCUUCCUGCCCGAAAUCCAUGGUGAUGUUUUGCCUGGCUUUCCCAAGUGGACGCAAGAGCCUUGGAGUCGUUGCAUCCCCUGGAAAACCAGGUCAGGAGGGUUCGUCUGACUCUGCCCUGACCUGUGGCUUCCAGGGAGCCUCCUGCUGUUCUGGAUCUUCCUGGGAGAGGACAUUCCCAUGCCUGCUUUUUAGACAAGAAAUCCCAAAUGCAGUAAGUCAGUCCCAUCCUGUCUGAGCUGUGCCAGUGGUGAGGUGUGAGGGGGAAUGCCCCGUUCUGCACUUUGAGACAUUGACUACCUCUUGACUACCUCAAGUUUACUGUCAAAACCUUCCCCUCUUGUCCACCGCUGCGUGCCUCAUAAUUACCUCCAGGUCUUCAUUCUCUACUGUGGAGAUGACGUUUUACUCCCAGAAGAUGAAGUUUUACUCCCAGAUUUUCCCUGCGUGUCCACAUCUGAUUAGCCCAGUUUUACCUCAUGAUGUACAUUCUCUCUCCUACAGAUUACCUCAGAUUUUACCCACAAAAAAUUUUCCCUACCUUCCCAUUACUGACUGCCUCAGUUUACCUCAAAGUGGUCAUUCUCUCCUCUUCAGAUUAGAUCAAGUUUUACCCCCCAAAUUUUCCUUCCUCUAUGUUCUCAUCACUUUUUUUAUCCACACCCAGCACAGCCCACCUUGGGGAAGGUCCAGCUGCUCAUUCCCAACCACAAGCAAACAUCCAGUGCCAGUGUCUGUCAGCCCCUGCUCCCUCUGCCCUGGACCCCUGGCACCCCUGGAUUGACUCGGUGCCCACAAACCGCUAAUGCCACCAUCAGGUUUCUCUGCCCACCAAGGGCACACCACCCAGGAGGGACAUUUCUCCCCGUCUCCCCCACGGACCUCCACAUCCAAUUCAGGGAGCACCAACUUAGUUCUGGGCUGGGAAAUAAGGGAGUGACAAGAAACGUAUUUAAAUCAUUCCAGCCUCAGUGGUGCCCAGGCCUGGGAGAAAGACCUUGGCACCACCCUCUUGGAUUCUUCUUUCCUCUCACUUGCCUUGCUCCCAGCUUUGGAAGGUUUGUCUCAGGCUGCGUUUCAUGGCUGUUCAGGGCAGACAUCUGGUGGCCAGCCUGGUGCUGAUAGCUGGACAGAGCAAAGCUGGCACUAGACAAGCAGUGACUUCCAUAUUUGUGCUUCACUUAAAAAGCAAACACCUCUGUGCUGUUUGACAGCUCAUCUUCACAAAGAUGCAAAGGCUUUUCCCCUCAGGGUAGCAAUUCUUCCCAGAAAAAGAGUUAUUGUGUCAUGAUGUUUUACCUAAUUAUUCUACUGGAACUCAUUUCUUCUCUCCUUCAAGCUUCAGGGACUUGCUGGUGCUGGGUGUGCAUCAGAGGAAGCGCUGGGGGGGUGGAAUACCCAGCCCGAGUUACGCCUGCAAGUGCACAUCCACCCCGGGGUCAGAGUCAGAGAGGUUUCCUGCACACCAAACACCACAGCCCCAGGCACCAGGAGCCUGCAGGUGCUCUGCAUUGCAAUCCACAGCCUCCCUCAAUCCUGCACGGGAAAGCAAAGGGAUUUUUCCUCCUGAGGGAGGAAAACACACAACAGCAAGUGCUGUCCCAGCUGAGCUGGCCCUUGUGGGCAGCUGCAUCACUGAACAGGAGAAUCCAUCCUGGCUCACUCUGUUCUUGUAAAACAGUGCCCACCCUGUGGGUCUGGGCUCUAAAAGCUCCAUUUAGGUCAGCAGAAAGCUCUCUGGCUGGGGCAAUUCACUGAAUUGACUGGUAGGUCCUGAAAUCUCUUUCCAAGUGCAUGAAAAGCCAAAGGACAAGGUGCUGCAAGCAGAGGUUCCCUGAACUGCAGGGAAAUGGCCCUGAGUGUGGCUUUGGGCUGCUGCCCCCGCUGCACACUGUGCUCUCCAGAGCAGUAAAAAGCUUUGCCUCUCUUUUACACACGUCCGGGAAAAAAAACCACACUCCUGCUGGAGAAGUCUUGGGUUUUCCUUUGGCAUUAACUGAACUGGCACAGCUCAAAGCGAUGCCAUGAAAUUCUCCAUCUCCAAAAUCCAGGUUCUCCUUUGCCGUGGGGUUUUUGCCGUGCCACAGUCCAGAGGGACCUCUGGCAGCUGCACUGCCCAAGAGCUGCCUGCUGGGAAACUUGCCACCCUUGGGAGGGAGACAGAAAUAAAGUAAUUCAGGGCACUACCAGCAAGUGUUGGAUAAAAAUACCGUAACAUUCCUCCAUGCCCCCUUUGUAAACAAGCACUAAACUGCUUAACUACACUUUCAGUUGAACCAGUUCGAGUCCAUUGGUAAAUAAUACAAUGUUAACUUUUGUUUUGUUUUAAGUUUCAGGGGAAAGGACAAGACUGAAGCAGUGACCCAGCAAAAUAAAACUCAGGGCUCAUCGGCACUA